UGGGGAAUAUUGGGCAAUGGGCGCAAGCCUGACCCAGCGACGCCGCGUGGGGGAAGAAGUCUUUCGGGAUGUAAACCCUUGUUGUACGGGACGAAACGAAUGACGGUACCGUACGAGGAAGCCCCGGCAAACUACGUGCCAGCAGCCGCGGCAAUACGUAGGGGGCGAGCGUUGUCCGGAAUUACUGGGCGUAAAGCGCACGUAGGCGGGCUGUCAAGUCGGCCGUGACAGGCACUGGCUCAACCGGUGUUUGUCGGUCGAUACUGGCGGUCUGGAGUAUGGGAGAGGGAAGUGGAGUUCCCGGUGUAGCGGUGAGAUGCGUAGAUAUCGGGAGGAACACCAGUGGCGAAGGCGGGUUCCUGGCCCAUUACUGACGCUGAGGUGCGA
rnacentral:rRNA from 1 species